rnacentral:rRNA from 1 species
ACUCCUACGGGAGGCAGCAGUGGGGAAUUUUGCGCAAUGGGCGAAAGCCUGACGCAGCAACGCCGCGUGAGUGAUGAAGGCUUUCGGGUCGUAAAGCUCUGUCAGGGGGAAAGAAGUGUAUUGUGGCUAAUAUCCACGAUACUUGACGGUACCCCCAAAGGAAGCACCGGCUAACUCCGUGCCAGCAGCCGCGGUAAUACGGAGGGUGCAAGCGUUGUUCGGAAUUAUUGGGCGUAAAGCGCGUGUAGGCGGUUUGUUAAGUCUGAUGUGAAAGCCCCGGGCUCAACCCGGGAAGUGCAUUGGAAACUGGCAGACUUGAAUACGGGAGAGGGUAGUGGAAUUCCUAGUGUAGGAGUGAAAUCCGUAGAUAUUAGGAGGAACACCGGUGGCGAAGGCGGCUGCCUGGACCGAUAUUGACGCUGAGACGCGAAAGCGUGGGUAGCAAACAGGAUUAGAUACCCUGGUAGUCCACGCCGUAAACGAUGAGAACUAGGUGUCGCGGGU